rnacentral:rRNA from 1 species
AUACGUAGGGUGCGAGCGUUGUCCGGAAUUACUGGGCGUAAAGAGCUCGUAGGUGGUUUGUCGCGUCGUCUGUGAAAUUCCGGGGCUUAACUCCGGGCGUGCAGGCGAUACGGGCAUAACUUGAGUACUGUAGGGGAGACUGGAAUUCCUGGUGUAGCGGUGAAAUGCGCAGAUAUCAGGAGGAACACCGGUGGCGAAGGCGGGUUUCUGGGCAGUAACUGACGUUGAGGAGCGAAAGCAUGGGUAGCGAACAGGAUUAGAUACCCUGGUAGUCCAUGCCGUAAACGGUGGGCGCUAGGUGUAGGGGUCUUCCACGACUUCUGUGCCGUAGCUAACGCAUUAAGCGCCCCGCCUGGGGAGUACGGCCGCAAGGCUAAAACUCAAAGGAAUUGACGGGG